CUCUGAUUCAGCGGCGGACGGGUGAGUAAUGCCUAGGAAUCUGCCUAUUAGUGGGGGACAACGUUUCGAAAGGAACGCUAAUACCGCAUACGUCCUACGGGAGAAAGCAGGGGACCUUCGGGCCUUGCGCUAUCAGAUGAGCCUAGGUCGGAUUAGCUAGUUGGUGAGGUAACGGCUCACCAAGGCGACGAUCCGUAACUGGUCUGAGAGGAUGAUCAGUCAUACUGGAACUGAGACACGGUCCAGACUCCUACGGGAGGCAGCAGUGGGGAAUAUUGGACAAUGGGCGAAAGCCUGAUCCAGCCAUGCCGCGUGUGUGAAGAAGGUCUUCGGAUUGUAAAGCACUUUAAGUUGGGAGGAAGGGCAUUAACCUAAUACGUUAGUGUUUUGACGUUACCGACAGAAUAAGCACCGGCUAACUUCGUGCCAGCAGCCGCGGUAAUACGAAGGGUGCAAGCGUUAAUCGGAAUUACUGGGCGUAAAGCGCGCGUAGGUGGUUUGUUAAGUUGAAUGUGAAAGCCCCGGGCUCAACCUGGGAACUGCAUCCAAAACUGGCAAGCUAGAGUAUGGCAGAGGGUGGUGGAAUUUCCUGUGUAGCGG
rnacentral:rRNA from 1 species